ACUCUGUUUCAAGAGAAAUAUUAAACUUGCAUUGGGACUAAUCUUCGGCAAAAUGGGAACGCGACCCUUGAAAAUCGGAAUGUAUGCGUCUGCUCUGUGUAGAUAAGGGCGGAUCGGGCGACGCAUGCUGAGGGCAGGCCAGGGCCAGGGUCGAGCCACUGCCAUUGAGGCCACAACGACGACGAAGACGACGCCAACGACGCCGAGAGACCGUCGACGCCACCGAGCCGCCUCCUCAUUGAACCAGCAUCUCACUCACUGUCAAGUUCCAAGCCACCUCCUCACCAAGAUGGAGCCAUCCCCCUUGCGA
rnacentral:lncRNA from 1 species